GCUUAUCACCAUUCCAGAUUGAAUAUACCCGAUCUCGUCUGAUCUCGGAAGUCAAGCAAUCUCGGGCUUGGUUAGUACUUGGAUGGGUGACCGCUUGAAUUCC
rnacentral:rRNA from 1 species